UUAGGGCCCUUUUCUGGCUAUUUAAAUGAUCAAGAACCUCAGAGGCACCUUGUUUUCUCUGUUAGCAGCACCCACAGUGGAUCUUGGUGGAAUUCAGACUGCAGAAGCUGAAAGCCAGUGAUCCACUUUGGUUCCCCUUUCAUAGCUGGUUAGGAUCUGAGUUACUGCUGAAGUGCAACAGCAAAUGUUCAUCUGUAAACCCACUUUGAAGAAUGUCAGAGUGGGAUUCUCAAGUGCCUAGUACCCAAAGUGUAUAUAAGAAAUCCACACACGUGGAAGAAGCAUCACAAGAACUUUGGGACACCUGUGCUACCUGGAGCUGCAGAUGGAGGCCAGGUGUCCUCAAUGAGCCUGGGUCACUUGUAUGGGUUUUCUUAACAUUUUUUCCCUGUGUAUUUUUAUGGAGGAUGAAGUUGUCUUCCUGUGGGGCCAUAAGGAUUCAUGAACUUGUUAUUGA